GGUUGAUCAUCAGAACCUGGACAGAUUAGAGGGAUGGGGUGGGGAAAGGUUGAUGAGUGGGAAAUUAAUUAUAAUUAGAUAGAAAUGUGUAAUUCUGAUGUGCUAUUGCACAGUAGGAUGACUAUAGAUAGUGGUAAGAUAUUGUAUAAUUUAAAAACCUGAAAGAAAAGAUUUUAAAUAUUGUCACUAUAAUUUAUAAACAUUUGAGGAGACAGAUAAGUGUAACCUGAUAGAAAACAUUAUACAAUGUGCCCAUGUAUUGAAACAUCAUUUGGUACCUCAUAAAUAUGUACAAUUUUUAUGUUUUAGUUAAAAAUAAUAAUAAAAAAGAAUUCCACCAUUCCAGGCUAUCAUGGGUAAUCUCAAAGGGAACAGACUAAAGGUAAGUCUUGCUUAAAUGUUCUACCUUGAAUUUGUAUCAACAGCAAACAAUAUAGGUUUACUCUGACAUUUGAGCCCUAAUACUUUCCAGAGAACUAAAUGGAGACUCCAGUAGAGAAUAUAAAUCCUUCUUUGCUUUCUUCAAAGAGACUCUUGUAAUCCCAGAAGUGAUUUAAAGUGAUAUUUCUCAUCUGUGUGGGAAAUAGUAGGUCCUAAAAGUUUAAUAAUACUGUCUCAAAGAACUAAUUGUAUCUUAUUUAUUAAGCAAUAGCUUAUUUUUUAAAAAAUAAACUAAAUUUUUAUAAUUCAAUAAUACAUAUUAAUUGAAGAAAAUCUGGGAAAUUUGGGAAACCCUAAAUGAAGAAAUCAAAUUCAUCCAUAAUUCCAGACAUGGUAACUAUUAUUAGUUUAAUAUGUUCAUAGGCAUAUGGUAAAUAAUAGGAAAAACUAUAAUUCUCCUAUUGUAUUUUCAACACAGAACACUCUGUCAACAAUUUACUUCUGACAUGAGAUAACCAGAUGUGUAUUUUCUCCACAUCAAGCAAUUUUCUGACUUCACUGGAUUGUCCUACAAUUUAUUUCAAUGCUGACACUACCUACGU
rnacentral:lncRNA from 1 species